AAGUUUCUUGGAAUUUUCCUCAAAAAAUAUUGAGAAAUGCUGGUCCAUUCACGAAAGUUUGUUUUGGUUUCUUCUCUUUUAGAGUACACAAGUGGUCGGAAAGAAGAUAAAAUAAUGAUAUCCUGAUCGUCCACGUGUCAAAACAUAUGAACAGAAUCAAAUUAAGUGCAUAGCUAAAAUAAAAAAAAAAAAAGUCAACGUGACACUGAGGGAUUGAAUUUGGCUUGACACUGUUGGAUUUUGCAGUUUCCAGUAAUGCUGUCAAUUUGGAGAUAUGCGUUGCAGCGGGCCAGCAGCUGUAUUAACUUCUUCGUCUCUACUUAGGUUCUCAAGCUCACAGACAGCUGAAUUUGAUCGGUGAACACGGAAAAGGCUCCGUUGGCAUCAUUUUCUGUCCAAGGUAUUAUCGGUGACCGCUAGUCCAAAAGUAACAUAGAAAGAUGUGGCUGCUACUAAAAUGGUAAAACAACCGGAGGAACCUAUGGUCCAUGUAAUCUUUAUAUGCAAAAUUCUGACUCGAGGAUAAUUUGUUCGCUGCUAGCGAUACCAAGUUAUCUUCCCGUCGUUGGAAAUUGCAAGACCUCAGAGUAAAACCGGAUUCAAGCCUUGUGUUCGUUACAUAUUUCACUUGUGAAAGCAAAGAACAUUCUUCAACACUGUUUUGAGUGUAGCGAACUUUACUUGGCCAUCAUUGGGGAUGCUGUACUGAGAAUGCAAAAUCUGCACUUAUCAAUAGUCUUAGACGCGUGGAGGACAUUGUUAAGGUUCUAUUGAACAUCGUGUUCAUGCGUUUGGGCGUCAACUAUGGAAGUUUGGUUUUAUCAACUAUAAGCCCAAGAACAGUAGGAAAUCAGGACAGAUGGGGAUUCCACCAGAAGAACUGAGGUGUCCCAUAUCUUUGCAGAUUAUGUGUGAUCCUGUCAUUACUGCUUCUGGACACACUUAUAAACGGGUCUAUAUCGAGAAACGGGUCUAGCCCCAAGACUCAGAAGCAGCUCCCACAUCUUUCCCUGACUCGCAACUACUGUGUUACUGGUCUGAUUGCUAGCUGGUAUCAGCAGAAUGAGAUCACUUAUUUUCUGUCCAAAGUAUUUCUGACCAACCAGAAUAAAGCUUCAUCGAAACAACGAUUGCUGAGGGGUGUAUCAUGGUAUUAUUACAAAAUAGACCGAUUAUUCACGGCUA